AUGAAGAGACCUGGCAAGUCUUAACAGUGACGAGACAUUCAUGGGCUGA
rnacentral:snoRNA from 1 species